GUUCCGCUCAAGUUCCUCCGCCGCGACCUCAGGACAGGCCGAAGAGGCGCGCACUACUCACGUGUCUUCCAAGUGCUGCUCCAAGGUCGCCUCCAUCCCACCCACCGACCACUCCGGCUCAGAACCCAGCGGCACGGCACGUCCUUCUCCACCACAGGCCUCAGUCACUUGACGCGAGCGGGGCGUGGACCGUAACGGCGCCUCCAAAGGGACAAAAUUGAUCACGGUGCAACGUCCGCGUUCUUUACUGGAAAACAUCACUGCGCUUCCGUCGCACAGAGCCUGACGAAGGCUUGGGCUCCCCGCGCGGUGACCGUCGAGGUGACCUGCACCUGGCUCCAUGGCGGAACCGGCCGGCACGGAUUAUUCCCCUCUCGGGAGAGGUCUGCAGCCGGGCCUCAGUGCUUCAGUUCGUGGCCUGGCAUUUUGUGAAGAGUGUCUUCAUCUCUGCAUCCCUAGUGCAACAGAGCAUGACAAAAAUUCAACAAAUAUUUAUUGAAGAGUCUUGAUGUCUUUUGGGAAAGGAACUCUAUGGUUACCUUUACUCUAAGGCAUUGUGAAGACCCUGUUUCUCUAGCUGUGCAGCUGCAAGGUCACUAGGCAGAUAAACUCAAGCCAUAAAACAUGUUUUUCCUUGAAAAAUUAGAUGGGUGUUACUGAUUCUUACCUCAGAGAAGAGAAUGUCAUGGAGACAAAAUGACCUGCUUAGAGUUCUGCACCCCCCAGCAUGGAGAGCAGAGCGCAAAGAUUUCUUCCGGACUCCCACAUUCCCCUUGGAAUCCAAGAACUGGUCUACUGUCACAACACUUUAGUACCCUCUUCUCCCAAGGAGGCAGCAGAAACUGGGGUAAUCACAACGGUCAACAGCAGCAAAGGCAGCACUUUCUGAUUUACUUGACUGCUAUGGAUGCCACCUCUCUCCACGCCUCAGUUUAAUAUCUCCUGCAAGCCCCCUAUUCAAGACAUCCCACCCUUUUAAACUUAAGCCAAUGUGUAACCUCCUGGCAAUCAAUUUUGCAAUUUAUGAUUUUGCCUGUAGCUUCUGCUGUUCUGAAAUUUAUUCCUGCCUCUAAAAAUCCUUGCCGGCAAGCCACUGGGGAGGCUAGGUUUUGAGCACUUAGCUGUCUGGUCUUCCUUACUUAGUGCUCUGCAAUAAACACCUUCC
rnacentral:lncRNA from 1 species